AAGUCGUAACAAGGUUUCCGUAGGUGAACCUGCGGAAGGAUCAUUAUCCAUCUAAAACCAGGUGCGGUCGCGGCCUCCGGGUGAAAGCCCGGGUGGUUUCGCGCCGCAUUCCUGCACCCUUUUUUUACGAGCACCUUUGUUCUCCUUCGGCGGGGCAACCUGCCGCUGGAACUUAAUAAAACCUUUUUUGCAUCUAGCAUUACCUGUUCUGAUACAAAUAAUCGUUACAACUUUCAACAAUGGAUCUCUUGGCUCUG
rnacentral:misc_RNA from 1 species